rnacentral:rRNA from 1 species
UACGUAGGGGGCUAGCGUUGUCCGGAUUUAUUGGGCGUAAAGAGCGUGUAGGCGGCCAGGUAGGUCUGGUGUGAAAACUCGAGGCUUAACCUCGAGAUGUCAUCGGAAACCAUCUGGCUAGAGUCCGGAAGAGGAGAGUGGAAUUCCUGGUGUAGCGGUGAAAUGCGCAGAUAUCGUAAGGAAGACCAGUGGCGAAGGCGGGUCUCUGGACAGUUCCUGACGCUGAGGCACGAAGGUCAGGGGAGCAAACGGG